rnacentral:rRNA from 1 species
AGAGUUUUUUCCGGGCUCAGGAUGAACGCUAGCGGGAGGCUUAACACAUGCAAGUCGAGGGGCAGCGCGGGUGGCAACACCUGGCGGCGACCGGCGGACGGGUGAGUAACACGUAUGCAACCUGCCCUGCACAGGGGAAUAGCCCGGAGAAAUCCGGAUUAAUGCCCCAUGGUCCACUGGGUCCGCAUGGAUCUGGUGGUAAAGAUUCAUCGGUGCAGGAUGGGCAUGCGUUCCAUUAGCUAGUUGGCGGGGCAACGGCCCACCAAGGCGACGAUGGAUAUGGGGUCUAAAAGGAUGGUCCCACACAUUGGCACUGAGAUACGGGCCAAACUCCUACGGGAGGCAGCAGUGAGGAAUAUUGGUCAAUGGGCGAGAGCCUGAACCAGCCAUCCCGCGUGCAGGAUGAAGGUCUUACAGAUUGUAAACUGCUUUUGCAGGGGACGAAUAAGGGUCACGCGUGGCCCGAUGACAGUACUCUGUGAAUAAGCAUCGGCUAACUCCGUGCCAGCAGCCGCGGUAAUACGGAGGAUGCGAGCGUUAUCCGGAUUUAUUAGGUUUAAAGGGUGCGUAGGCGGGGCUUUAAGUCAGCGGUAAAAUCAUAUAGCUUAACUAUAUCAAGCCAUUGAUACUGGAGUCCUUGAGUACGGUUGAGGCUGGCGGAAUGUGUUGUGUAGCGGUGAAAUGCUUAGAUAUGACACAGAACACCGAUUGCGAAGGCAGCUAGCUAAGCCGGCACUGACGCUGAGGCACGAAAGCGUGGGGAUCAAACAGGAUUAGAUACCCUGGUAGUCCACGCUGUAAA